rnacentral:rRNA from 1 species
GACGAACGCUGGCGGCGUGCUUAACACAUGCAAGUCGAACGGGGAUUUUUAUUUCGGUAGAAAUUCUAGUGGCAAACGGGUGAGUAACGCGUAGACAACCUGCCUUUCCGAUGGGGACAACAGUUCGAAAGGACUGCUAAUACCGAAUGACGUGUCUCCUCCGCAUGGAAGAGAUACCAAAGACGGCCUCUAUUUAUAAGCUGUCGCGGAAAGAUGGGUCUGCGUCUGAUUAGCUGGUUGGAGGGGUAACGGCCCACCAAGGCGACGAUCAGUAGCCGGUCUGAGAGGAUGAACGGCCACAUUGGGACUGAGAAACGGCCCAAACUCCUACGGGAGGCAGCAGUGGGGAAUCUUCCGCAAUGGACGAAAGUCUGACGGAGCAACGCCGCGUGAGUGAAGAAGGUCUUCGGAUCGUAAAGCUCUGUUGUACGGGACGAAUGUUGAAGGCGUGAAUAAUGCCAUCAAAUGACGGUACUGUACGAGGAAGCCACGGCUAACUACGUG